UUACAGCUCCAUGUUGUGCGUUUUGUUUUGUUUUGUUUUUUUAAGUUGACAGGUCUGUCCACAAACUGCUUACUUUUUACUGGGUUGUCUUUUUUUUUGAGUUGCAAGAGUUAUUUUGAUGUUCUAAAUUCAAAUCUCGUUAUCAGAUAAAUGAUUUGCAAAAGAUUUCUCCUGUUCCGUGAGCUGUUUCACUCUCUUGGUGGUAUCCUUUGAAGCACAGAAGUUUUUAAUUUCCGUGAUUAAAGGAGAUCUUAAGACAAAGAGCUGUUUUUUCUCUUGGACUAUUUGUGCUUUUGGUGUCAUGUCUGAGAAACCAUUGCUCAGUCCAACUGUGGGUGGUGUGUGUGUGUGUGUGUGUGUGGUGCGUAUGUCUCAUUUUUAAGAAAAAUGGGACCCUGUUUAUAGCCACUCUUUCAUAACCUCCUUCAAGAUCUUAGUGUUACGUGUUGAGCUUUUUACUCGGAGAAUGCGCGUCGCCAUGUCGUUGGCACCACCACUUUUUAGUGGCAACCACUUGGUUCCUGGCACGUUUUUAACCCUGUGAGCAGGGUGGGGGCAGCUGGCCCCAAGCUCCGCAUAAAUGUCCGGAAGCCGACCUUCUGAGCGGAAGGGUCGCGCGCGGUUUGAGUCGCUGCUGCCUCAGUCGCUGGCGCUUUCCAUGCCCGGGGGACGUGUGAACAGAUUCAGUUGCUGGCAGGCGGGCAGGGGCACGGGAUCCGUUCACGCAGAAUCGGCCUCCCCUGGGCCUGAGCUCUCGGAGCAUCUCGGAGCGGCUUCUGUCUGCCUCCAGGCCUGGAGGGAGAGGAACCGGGGUCGCGCUUCCGUGCUGAGCUGGAGGCGUCUGCUGACUGCCCCCGACCCCGGGGACCUGCUUCAUGGCCCCAGCAGCUCCCUGGAUCACGGGUGCUGGAUCAGCCACUCCCCCCGGGCCCGAGGCUGGGGUGGCCCACGCCGAGGUCUUCGUCCAGUCCUGCCCCCACUCCAUACAAAGCCGUCCCUUCUCCAGGAACAGCCCCAGAUCAAAUAGCGUGCCGGGGCUGGAGGAGAACGUCAGGCCGGAACUGAUCCCUGUGGUGGCUUAAAAAUAGACCAGCCGUUACGCAGGUGAUAUGUUCAUGCUGGGAUUAGCGUCAUAUGGUCAUUGGCUCAGAGGCCAGCGUGCGCCCCUCGCCUUGGGCUCCGCGUCCCCAGUUUGGGACCUCGCAUCUGUCAAACCCACGUGUAUCUAAGGCAAAGCGCUUGCUCCUGGACAAGGCCGUGCUUCAAGUCAGUCCGCACGGAGAGGGGAAGGGCAGAGGGUCCACAUGGAGCCUCUCGAAGAGGACACCGCGCGGGCUCAGCGACAAUUGUGUAUUCAUAAAUGCGCACAAACACAUCUGCCUGGGUACUCGGGUGGCAGGCGGGAGAUAAAUGGAAAAUUCUGGAAUACAAUUAACGUAAUGCUGGUCUUCCGGCCCCACAGAGUUCAAUUUGUAGGAGCAACGGUUCAAUCCAGGCUGUUUAUCACCCCCGGAGGCUGGUUACACAGAGAUAACGGAAAAGCUCUUGUGUGGUCCAGGCGGCAAUCUGUCUUGGAGACAAUCUCUCUGGCCUUGUGUGAGGAGGCAUCGUUACCCAGACACAUUGUUGAAAUGAAUGUGCCCCGUUUGACAACCGGCAUCCAGCGCUCUUGAAUGCAGAGGUGUUGUCUUGAUCUCAGCAGCCACUUUGUGACCAUGGGGAUCAAGAGUCACAGGCUGAGGAGGGCAGAGCAGAAGGACAGAUGAGCCUGUGAUGAUACUGUUGGACCGAAGAUGCUGAACUCGACCUCUGGACUUUUCCAUGAGAUGAAACAAGCCCCUCCCUUGCUUAGCUGGGCUCAGGGCUCCGGCAGAUGCAGCACUAACUGGUUCAGUGAGGUUCACCGUCUGUCCGGAGUUCAGCAGGUGAGUUGAGGAUCUCAGCAAACUGUACCACAGUGAAUCCCAUCCAUGCCACACCCCUCACCAGAACGUGAGUUCCUUGCUACCAAAAGCCAUGCCUGAGUUAAAGCAUCUAGCCCAAGGCUUGGCAUGGAGCUUGAAUGCAAGCUCUGUGAAGACAGAGACUGUUUUGCUGACGACUCAGAGCCCAAACCGUUGCAGACAUGGAGGAGCUGCUCAGUAACGAACAAAUGAGGAGGGAGGUCCGGAACGAGGGUCCAGGUCUCGCCUCCCUCACCCAGCCUUCCGUUCUCUCAUGUGGUCUCUUCAGGAACAAACGAACAACCUGAGGCGCACAGAAAGGGCUGCCUGCACUCAAGGCCAGUCCAGGUCUAAGUGGGGACGAGCUCUGCCCCCAAGCGUCUGGAAUCCGGGCAAGUGUGUUGCUGUGUUUUUCAGUCUCAGAGCACAUGGGGCCGCUGGAGGGACAGUAGCAGGAGUGAGGCUUGUGUGAGGGGAGACCUCUGCACGGGGGUUAGAGAAGGCUUCCUGGAAGAGGUGGCAUAUGAAGUGGGCCUGGGAGGAUACAUAGGUUGAAGUUGGGCAGGUGCAGGUAUGGAGGGGCAGAGAGACUGGGCUGGGAAAGAAGGCAAGGGUCGGUUAGACUGGAGAGCUGGGUGCAGCGGAUGGAAAGAUGGGGAGAAACAACUGAGAAAUAUGAGUUAAGAACAAGCCUGUGAUGUCUGCGAAAGCACCCAGGAGAGCGAUCUCGGAAGACCAGAAAAGAGGCUGACACAGGUGGUGCUCCUGGGAAGACCAUGAAUCAUGGGGCUCUUAAUCCCCUGGAGUCCAGCGACCCCUAGGCCUGCUGGAAAGCCCCUCAUCCCUGGCACGUGCAGCCCCACCCUGGGGCACAGUGGCUGCCCGGGGCCGACUGAUAACCCAGGCCUGAGGCGGCCCAGCUUGGGGAGGUGGUUGCUAAGAGACCAAAAUCUCAAGGCUCAAGUCCAAAUUUCAGGCCAUGACUCAGAAAGAACCCUGGCUCUCAUCCCUGGCCCGUGGCAUCUUUAGAAACCAAAUCCCCAGGGGACACCUGAGGCCCGAGGGGACAGGUGCCUAGACCUGAAGACAGGAGGGCGGGGCCUCAGUCCUGACACAGGCCUGGGCCUCAGGACAGAGACGGACAGAGAUAAUUCCCUUGGGUCCCCCUUCCAGACGCAGCUUGAGGGGACAGUGGGUGAGGAAGGCGCCCUCAGGGCGUCCACGUGGGCUCCCCUGGGGGGUCUCUCCACUGUGGGAAGGAUGUCCUCAGGGUCAGCUGGACCCUGCUUACCCGGCCGCCCUGUUGCUCACCUCCAGGUGACAUAUAACCCAUUGAACCCAUUCGCUGUCAUACGGCCCAGAGGCAGCCCCGGUAGAGUGGCCCACAGGCCUGUCUGACCCUGGAGAGGGGACAUAUGCGACGGAAGUUGCUCAGAGAGACAGGGCAGUGCAUAUGGGAGGGGAAGAGGGCUGCAGUGAGCUCCUUCCUCAGGGGGACCAACCCCCACUGCAGGGCCACAUGAGCUGAAUGGCUUCCAGCCUGGGGGACACAUGAGUCACAUCGCCUGGGAGACGGGGUGCAGGCCGGGACUCCCCAGAGCACGGUGGCAGGGCCGUCUGCACAACAGGGAAGUAAGAUGACUGCAGGCACUGUGUUCACUCAUUCACUCAUUCAUUCAUUCAUUGAAACAUCCACUGAAUAGGGGCUCUGUGCCUGGCCCAAAGCUGGGGUCUCGGGAGAAAAAUCAGACAGGGGCCCUGUGAUCAGGCAGCUGCCAGAACCUUAGCACAAAAUGAGGCCUCAGAACACAGCACCACCACAGGGAGUCAUCGGUCUCAGCUCCCCUUCCUGCAAGUGACGGGGAGCUCACUACCUCACGAGCCAGCCGCUUGGAACUGGACUUCUCUGCCUGUCACAAAGUUCUUCUUAUCCUUUUUGCUUUCAUUGUGUGUGUGUUUGCCUUGCUGUUAUAAACGGUACUCCUAGAAGCAUUCUGGCACAACCUCCUGGUGCGCACGGACAAGAGAUUCUCUGAAAAACACGGACGUGAAAUGACCGGGUAUGUUGACCUCCAGAUUCACUAGGUGAUGCCCAACUGCUUUCCAAGGCGAUUGCACCAAGUCACACAAUCACUGUUUUAUUAAUUUCUAGAAAUUCUGUUCAGCUCUUUUUCAAAUCUAGUCAAGCCUUUUCAGAAUCUCUUGCUCCUAUGUCAUGUUUCCAGUUCUCUCCUUUUCUGUUUCUUGAAUCAGACAUUUUUCUGUUUCUUGAAUCAGAUUGAACAAGCCUAGUUCCCACUGCUCUCCGAGUGCUGGCAUCUGACGACGCCGUGCGCGGAUCCGGCUCUGUGUGGUCACUGCUGCUUCUUGCUCAUGGUGCCCUGGUCCCUUGUGUGUUCGGCGGCUUUUCUCUGUCAGAUGCUCAUCUUCCCUGCAUUCUGCCUUCACAUUUGGCUGCAAGGUGGCGUCCUCCAGAGGGGACCUGAGUUUGUCUGUGAGAAGUCUAGAGAAAGCCAUUUUAGUCUAGACUCCCAGCCGGGGGCUUUUAAAGAAAGGGCCGCAAGUGGGACUCAGCCAGCAAACCUGCUUGAGGGCUGGCUUGUGGUGUGUGGUGCAUGAGGGCGCCGGCCAGACCCACUUCUUGGGUUUCAGAGGCUCGUCUCAGGUCACCUGGGCCAGUUGGUGGCAGACACGUGAGACGUUCUGCAUGCACGAGUAAUGAGAAUAGCAGCGCCCACCGGUAACGGGGCACCACCGCGCGCCAAGUGCCUUGGGAGGGGCUGGGCGUGUCCACCCAAACUCUUCGUUACAGUGACCCUGUGAAGUGGGCACCAGGACUAUCCCCCGAGGUGGGAGGGAGGGCGGGGCACACCUGAGGUCCCCCGCUGGCGGGCUGCACACGCCGGCGCUCCCGGACUUUCAGCCUCUGCACUGAAGUUUGUGGCGGCGGUUAGUUUCUGCCGUUACUUUAUCGUUCUGGCACCAGAGAUGUCAGGGACCUGAGCCACCGGCACCGUCAUCCCCUCGGGCCCGGCACAGACACCUUGGCGGAGCAGGCUUGUCCCUCAUCACAGCAACGCGUCGUGACUCAUGCCGCCUUCCCUCUGAGUCAGUAAGCGCUCCCCGAGCAAAUGCCACUUCGUGUGGGCAGCCAGACAGCCUCUGCCUGUCCAGCUGACAGACACCAGUGCUGUUCUGAGUACAAACUAAAGCAAGGGUGGCAUAGGGG